rnacentral:rRNA from 1 species
AAAAGAAAAUAACAAUGAUUCCCUCAGUAACGGCGAGCGAAGAGGGAUAAGCUCAAAUUUUAAAUCUGUUGGGUUUCACUUAACAGAGUUGUAUUUUGAAGAAACGUUUUCUGCGUCCAGGAUUAGCCUAAAUCCUUUGGGAUAAGGUAUCAUGGAGGGUGAGAAUCCCGUUCAUGGUUAAUCUUAAGGAAGCUCUACGAUACGUUUUCCAAGAGUCGAGUUGUUUGGGAUUGCAGCUCAAAAUGGGAGGUAAAUUUCUCCUAAGGCUAAAUAUUGGCGAGAGACCGAUAGCGAACAAGUACCGUGAGGGAAAGAUGAAAAGAACUUUGAAAAGAGAGUUAAACAGUACGUGAAAUUGUUGAAAGGGAAACGAUUGAAGUCAGUCAUACCAACGGGAAAUCAACCUUUUGAGCUCGGUCUCGUGGGUUUUGAAGAGUUUCAAAGCCUUCGGAUUCGCGGGAUUGGGAUCUCUCGGUGUACUUUUUCGUACGGUUAGUCAACAUCGGUUUUGAAUGUCAUAAAAUGACUGGAGGAAUGUGCUUCCGAUCUCGUAUUGAAGUGUUAUAGCCUUUGGUAGAUGUGAUGUUUGAGACCGAGGAUUGCAACGGAUACCCUUCAGGGCUAUUCGUCUGAUCUCUGAUACGUUGCCUUGAUGUCGAAAGCUUGCUUAUGAUGUUAGGGUAUUACGGUCAAAAGGUUAGAACGAAUUACAUUCGUUAAGGAUGUUGACGUAAUGACUUUAAACGACCCGUUUUGAAACACGGACCAAGGAGUUUAACAUAUAUGCGAGUGUUUGGGUGAUUAAACCCUUGCGCGUAAUGAAAGUAAUUUUGGUGAGAUCCGGGAAAAAUUUUCGGAGCAUCAUCGACCGAUC